UCCAGUGUAGUGUAAUGGUUAGAUCACUGUUCUCACUAUUAUGAGAAUAUAGGUUCAACUGGUCAGGAGUUCGAUUCUCCUCACUGGCU